UACGGAGGAUGCAAGUGUUAUCCGGAAUCACUGGGCGUAAAGCGUCUGUAGGUGGUUUAAUAAGUCAACUGUUAAAUCUUGAGGCUCAACUUCAAAAUCGCAGUCGAAACUAUUAGACUAGAGUAUAGUAGGGGUAAAGGGAAUUUCCAGUGGAGCGGUGAAAUGCGUAGAUAUCUGGAGGAACACCAAUGGCGAAGGCAGCUUACUGGGCUAUUACUGACACUCAGAGACGAAAGCUAGGGUAGCAAAUGGG
rnacentral:rRNA from 1 species